GUUUACAAAUUUCAAGUGCGGUCCAUUAAUUACAAGACCAUUUUACAUCAGUUACUGUGUAGGUGCGGUUUUACUUUUUGAUUUACCAAAACCGCAAAGUUUUUAAUUGGUUUUGUGAUUGGUGACUGUAUUGCGGAUUGGACAAAACCGCUUCAAAUACCACACUCAGACUUUUACCAAUCACUACCAUAGAACUUGAAUUAGACAACAAGUUGGUUAUUUUAUUUUGUUUUAUUAAAUUUUUUUCUCGUCAACUGGUUAUAUUAUAGAUGUUAUGGAACAAACAUGACCAACGGACGAAGAUGUGUCUGUGGUUAGCUAAGCCGGCAGAAACACAAUAUCUUCAGAAUCUAAAAUCCAUAAAGGACAGCAAAAGCCCAAACAAUAACAAACUAUGACGUUUAUAGACCAACACUUUAAACUAAGCAACAAGACUCGUGGAUCAAGAAUAGCACUCUCAACAAAACAGAGAAAUCUUAUUGAUAGAGAAUCUAUGAAUGCUGUUGAACGGGAAUGCCCCUGACCAAACCACUGUAAAACCACUCCCUCCUAGUACAACGAGGAAACACCUCAGGACCCAAGUAACACAAGCUUCACAAAGCGGUAAGGGAGAAUCCUUCAGAUUUAGUCAACCUCCAGAAAUGGAUGAGUCGUACACGACUGAGAAACGCCAAGGAAUGAAGCCACACAAAAAUCAAAUCUCCACAAGAUCUGAACAAGCAACUAGGAGCCAAGCCCACCUAAUCCGGAGCACCAAGAACACAUGCCAUAAACAGCAUAAAGACGGAUCAGAGGAAUCCACAACAAACUCCAUCACCUUAGAAAAAUCUGAAAAGCAACAUACCAUACAAGAAGUCCAGAGAUAUGCAACACAACAAAACUCACCAAAUCUAGGCGUUGAUUUCUAAACAAAAGCUUUGUGGCUAGGCCAAACCGUGAAUCAUCAGAUCUGGAGCUUUUAUCAAAAAUCUACAACAGAUUUGGUGUUUCAUUGAUUUGACCGAAGCAUAUCUCUUAAAACUGAGCCUUAGUCACGAACCAAACUCAAACCAAGCAAAGAGGAAAAAAGACAGAGAUUGGGACCAAAAAAUAAGUUGAUUACACAAGAAACUACAAAAAGUUGAUUGCCCAAUCAAAUAAGCUAGUGGAUUUCUGAAGCGGUUGUCCACAAAAUUACCUCUGACAUGGAUGUGAAAUCACUUGUUAAUCCAUUGAAUCUAAGAAUCUAAAAGCAUUGGUAAUAUCUAUAUCUAUCUAUCUAUAUAUAUAAAGAACAGUUUACUUCUCUCCCAGGGAGUCCACGUCGUCUGCCACAUCACUAAUUCGAAGUUUCCUGGUGCGACACGUGUCCCACCAUCACAAAACUCAUCGUUUCAUUUUAAAAUAGGCAUCCUGGGCUUUUUGUUAAUCAUCACAAUUGUAGUCCAAACAGAAAGGCCCAAAUCUGAUAACUCACAUGAAGCGCUAGGGUUUCUGUUCUUCUUCCAAAUUCGCUACCUAUCAAUUUUUUUUUCUGCGUUAUCUCUCACACAGUCAACGAUGUUUCGACUGUUUUAAUUACUGAAAUCGUGAUGGAGAAUCUCUUUGUCUGUCUCCUCUCGCGUCGUUUAGCUUUCUAUUGCACUCAAACGAAACCGUCAGAGUUACAGAUUCAACACCAUUAUCGCCUUCUUAACUCCAAAGAGCAACGUUUAGCACGAUCUUGAUAUUGAUUGUGAGUUAUCUCUCUGCAAGGCGGUUUAUUGAUCACCUAUGAAAAGGUUAGCUUUCUUCACUUGAACAACAUCCUCACAAUCUGUGAAAACACUAACACGAGAUUUGCUUAAUUCUUUUUUAUUUUGUUUUGUUCUCUCACUCAUCCUCACAAAAUUCAAGCUAAAAACUUUUACGCUGCUAACAGAUCGUCCGAAAUCACCGGCAAGGGUCCUUCAUCACUGCUCUUCAAUGAUGUCUAACCAGCCCUAUGAGAUCCGUCCUAGUUGGUUUUCCGUGUUAUCCGUCAAUUAGGAGCACAACGUCCUAAUCGGGCUUGAGUUGCUACUGAUUGAUGAACACGUAUACAGGCUUUCAUAUUUACUUAUUUAGUAGCAAAUACUCUCUCAAUUUAGUAUCCUCAAGUACAUCACCUACAAAUCAGUAAGAUAAGAGAGAGCAUAUAUUCACAAAAUUCAUCGAUUGUUAUUUUGAUUUCUUUGCAGAGAUCAUGAAUCGAGAUGAAUCAAAAUUUAUUGAUUAGACUUUUAGUACAGAGCAAGUCGUGGAACUUUAUUUAGUUAUGAACAACGAAUCACUCAUAUUGACAUCUUCCAGCUUUUAGCUCUUGCAUUGGUCUGAUAAAGUUUUGAUUUUUCUGUGUAUCAUAAAGAUCAAUAUCUAAACUGGAGAAGAAGAAGCUGCCGUGAAGCUGGUAUAAUUUAUGAGCUCAGUUUUGGUUUCUCAUUUAAAUAAAUGUUCUUUUUUGCUGAGAAACGUUUCAAUUUUGAGACUUUUUGUUUGAAUUUGAUAGUAUUAGCAAGACUUCAUUGCUGUAGAUGGUCAUGUUUCAUUGUUCCUUUAUUGUUAAUUGAUCUUUUGUUGCAUUUAUGACACACAAGAACCUACGAAGACGAGGCUUCUCAACUACACUAUGAAUCGUAAAUACUAUUAUAGAUGUGGGGAAGAGAGUUGGUUUCUUUGGUCAUUUAUAUGAAUAUUAAUUUUCAACCCACUAUCUCUGCCCUCUGUUGGCUUGACCUUUUUGGGCUGAGCUUGGAGACGUAUUCAACCUCUGUAAUCGGAUGUUUACGUUCAAAUCUAUUUCAAUGCUUGCAGAUCAAUUGGUAAGUACUGAUAUAGAUAAAUUCCUCUUGCCGUUUUGUGAUUGUUGACUUCUCAGAUUAGUGUGGUUUUGGUGAUUUGAUUGACCUUUAGUGUUUGAUUCUUGUUUUUUUUUUUUGCUUAUAUCACAUUGUAUCCUAAUUAAUUUUGCUUUUGAUUGAUGUCAGGUUAAUAUCAUUGAUAUGACUGGUGUAAUCUUAGCCCUAUGCAGUGUUGGUGGUGUGCAGAGUCAGCCUAUUACAGUCGACAUGCAAAUGAGGAGAUUAAAAGUUGCAAGAAUCUACAGCAAAUGGAGUUUACUCCAGGUGUGCAUCCCAACACCAUUUUGAGCAGAAUCAAAAAGACAACGCAAACAACAAUGAUGCACAGAAGCAGCUGGGAAGAAAAGAAAUCGUAAUAGCUCAGAAAAAUGUAGGUAAAAACAUUUUUCUAGCCUAAACAGGUGCUUUAUGUAUUUCGCUAACGAUCUGGAAUGUUACCAAUAAUAUUUUUAUAUGUUAGUGUAAUCUCAAUAAGAAUCACAAUUGGUUAAGCCUUUAGAGGAUCAUAUGUACAAGAAGAAAAGAAAAACAAUGCAAAAAUUCUAUGUA